rnacentral:lncRNA from 1 species
UCAUUCAUAUGUGUCAAUAUAUUUUGCUAUGCAGUGCAAUACGUGGUCUCAACUCUCAUCACACUCGCUUAUUCUACUACAUAACUCAAACUCCAGAGACUGAAUCUGUUAAGCUCAACAUGUUCCUGAGUUUGUCGCAUACGUAUCAUGUGCCAAAUUUUUUGUGUAUAAUAAACUCAAUCUCCUCUCUUGGGAAGUGGAGAAGCUACCGCCGGUAUCGGACUUAUAGCAUCUGUCGGUGGGGGCGGUGGGCUCGGUGCGGGUCUUCCAAACAUCAUCCUCUCUUCAGCGUUCAUAAAACCUAAAAUACAAAGAAAAAAAAGGCAAUAUAAUGGUUGUCAUAAAAGGAAAAUUACAUGUAAAAUAGCUAAAAUACCAACUUACGAGUUCCACCGGCCAACUCAAAUUUCAUUGCAAUGAAGAUAGCAAUCAGUACCAUGAGGUACAGGAUGAUGGAAGAUAGUUUCAUGAUGUUCUUGACAAAUGU